rnacentral:pre_miRNA from 1 species
AUUUGAAUCAUCUAGGGAUCUUGUUAAAAUGCAGAUUCUGAAUUCAGCAGAUCAGCAUUCUGCAUUUCUAACAAGCUCCCAGGUGAUGCAGAU